UCUCCUGCUGUGACCCUCAAGAUGGAAGCAGUUUCUGUUGUCUGAAAGGAAAGAAAGUGCUUCCUUUUUGAGGGUUACUGUUUGAGA
rnacentral:pre_miRNA from 10 species